AACGAACGCUGGCGGCAUGCCUAACACAUGCAAGUCGAACGCCCUGGGCAACUGGGGAGUGGCGGACGGGUGAGUAACGCGUGGGGACCUGCCUCGAAGUUCGGAAUAACCGCGGGAAAC
rnacentral:rRNA from 1 species